CCUACGGGAGGCAGCAGUGGGGAAUAUUGGACAAUGGGGGGAACCCUGAUCCAGCGACGCCGCGUGAGUGAAGAAGUAUUUCGGUAUGUAAAGCUCUAUCAGCAGGGAAGAAAGAAAUGACGGUACCUGACUAAGAAGCCCCGGCUAACUACGUGCCAGCAGCCGCGGUAAUACGUAGGGGGCAAGCGUUAUCCGGAUUUACUGGGUGUAAAGGGAGCGUAGACGGCGAUGCAAGUCUGAAGUGAAAGGCGGGGGCCCAACCAUUCAGACUAUUAGCUAAACUGUUAAGCUCGAGACCGUUAGGGGUAACUGGAAUUUCUAGUGUAGGAGUGAAAUCCGUAGAUAUUAGAAGGAACACCAAGAGCGUAGGCAGGUUACUGGGACGGUUCUGACACUAAGGCACGAAAGCGUAGGGAGCAAACGGGAUUAGAUACCCUUGUAGUC
rnacentral:rRNA from 1 species